UACGAAGGGGGCUAGCGUUGUUCGGAAUUACUGGGCGUAAAGCGCACGUAGGCGGACAUUAAGUCAGGGGUGAAAUCCCGGGGCUCAACCCCGGAACUGCCUUUGAUACUGGGUGUCUUGAGUGUGGUAGAGGUGAGUGGAAUUGCGAGUGUAGAGGUGAAAUUCGUAGAUAUUCGCAGGAACACCAGUGGCGAAGGCGGCUCACUGGACCACAACUGACGCUGAGGUGCGAAAGCGUGGGGAGCAAACAGG
rnacentral:rRNA from 1 species